rnacentral:rRNA from 1 species
AAUGUGCCUUCGGGAACCCUGAGACAGGUGCUGCAUGGCUGUCGUCAGCUCGUGUUGUGAAAUGUUGGGUUAAGUCCCGCAACGAGCGCAACCCUUAUCCUUUGUUGCCAGCGGUCCGGCCGGGAACUCAAAGGAGACUGCCAGUGAUAAACUGGAGGAAGGUGGGGAUGACGUCAAGUCAUCAUGGCCCUUACGACCAGGGCUACACACGUGCUACAAUGGCGCAUACAAAGAGAAGCGACCUCGCGAGAGCAAGCGGACCUCAUAAAGUGCGUCGUAGUCCGGAUUGGAGUCUGCAACUCGACUCCAUGAAGUCGGAAUCGCUAGUAAUCGUGGAUCAGAAUGCCACGGUGAAUACGUUCCCGGGCCUUGUACACACCGCCCGUCACACCAUGGGAGUGGGUUGCAAAAGAACGUAGGUAGCUUAACCUUCGGG